CUUCCGAUUCCUUCAUCUUCAUGCCUUCCAGCUCGCCACGAAGAGUUUGAAGGCGGACUUGUUUAACUCGGUCGGCUCCUUCGUACACCUUUGCUAAAAUGUCCCACGCUUCUUUUGAAGUUGUCGCACUUGCAAUCUUCUGAAAGCCCGACUCAUCAAUGGCUCGAAAUAACAUGUACAAUGCCGCCUUAUCUUUCGACCGCAUUUCUUUCAACGCCUUGUUUUGAGCCGCCGUAUAUCCCGCAGUAGUUGUCGGUUCUACGAAACCUU
rnacentral:lncRNA from 1 species